rnacentral:rRNA from 1 species
ACGGGUGAGUAACGCGUAUGUAACCUGCCUUGUAGCGGGGGAUAACUAUUGGAAACGAUAGCUAAUACCGCAUAACAAUGGGUGACACAUGUCCUUUAUUUGAAAGGGGCAUUUGCUCCUCUACAAUAUGGACCUGCGUUGUAUUAUCUAUGGGGUGAGGUAACGGCUCACCUAGGCGAAUAUACAUACCCCACCUGAGAGGGUGAUCGGCCACUCUGGCACUGACACACGGCCCACACUCCUACGGGAGGCAGCAAUAGGGAAUCUUCGGCAGUGGGGGCAACCCUGACCGAACAACCCCGCGAGAGUGAAAAAGGUUUUCAGAUCGUAAAUCUCUGUUGUAAGUCAAGAACGAGUGUGAGAGUGGAAAGUUCACACUGUGACGGUAUCUUACCAAAAGGGGACGGCUAACUACGUGCCAGCACCCGCGGUAAUACGUAUGUCCCGAGCGUUGUCCAGAUUUAUUGGGCGUAAAGCGAGCGCGCGCGGAUUGAUAACUCUGAAUUUAAGGGCUGUGGCUCACCCAUAAUUCUCUUUGGACACUGUCACACUUGAGUGCAAAAGGAGAGAGUGAAAUUCCGUGUGUAGCGGAGAUGUGCAUAUAUAUAUGGAAGCACACCGGUGGCGAAAGCGGCUCUCUGGUCUGUAUCUGACUCUGACGCUCGAAAGCGUGGGGAGCGAAGAAGAUUAUAUACCCUGAUACUCCACGCCAUACAC